CAUGAUUUAAAAACAAAACUAAAACGUUAAAGCACAUGACUCCACUCAUAAUGGGUACGUGUGACCAGCGACUUCCUCUCUUUGCCCCCUCUCGGCUCCAGGGACCUCAGAAGUUAUCUAAGGCGGCAGAAGGGGAGACAGCGUCUCGCGGCCAGAGGCCCCGGGCGAGCAGUGUGCAGCUGCGGAGGGCUAUGCCGCCCCCUGAUGGACGCUUUGGGAAUUAACGCCGGCGCCCUCUCACCUUGGGGGAUGCACCGGAAAGCCUGAGGCUCGCUUAUUGGAAGGUGUCUUCCCUCCCGGCCUUGUUUUAUCUCCGUCCGCAGGCGUGCGAGCAUUCGCAGUUUCCAGAAGCAGAGCGGAUUCCAAGAACUCCGGUCAGCAUGAUGAUCGGACAGCGCUUACAGGAAAAAAGGAAGUGAGACGCAGAAAAGUUUAAUUGGCUACAGCUUAGUUAGCGGCCCCAGGGCGUCGGUCGCUGGGAUCCACCUCCGGAUCAGGCCGGAUGCAAAUCCAUGGGUUCCUGAAGUGACUGGCUCACGGUCAGAUCGUUAAUCAAGGGUGGAGCUUGGAAUUGAGCCCAAAGAUCUCUUUAAUGUUGGCUUAUAAGAAGACAGCUGGACGUUCACAGCUGCUUCUGCAUUCAAUCUUCUGUGACAUCACACUUCCAGGAGCUUCCGAAAAAUAGCACUGCAUGCUUGUGAGAGAACAGUUAAGUAGGAAAAUAACAUGUUAGUAUUACUAUAAAAUGGGUUUGACCUCCUGUCAAAUCCAUUAGGGACCCUGGGAUCUCCGGACACCCCGGAGGACUCGCUGCUAUAAGAUAGAUCUUCUAAAGGGCAAACAGAGUCACACGUCAGGGGUAUUGUUCCUGCAGACCUCACCACCACCGCUCCACACUCCCGCUUUGCUCCUCAUCUCCUCCUGGCAAAUGCAUGUCUUCUAAGCCAAAUCUUUCUUUCCCGUGCUCUGGCUACUGGCCCCAGGACAUCAGGAUUAACCUGGAGGUGGAAUCCUCCAAGCCAUAAAGAGGGGCUCUGCCUCAGUCCUAGGGACCUCCUGCAUUUCCCAAAGGAGCAUUAAACUAUUUGUCCCUAUUGUUCCACUUCUAGGGAAAAGAACUUCUGAUGAAUCUUCAUCCUGAUUCACGUAGACUAAGCAGCUGAGAACUCAGAAGUGCUAUCCUCAUAUAUGUUUAAUUAAAAUAUAUAAAUGUGUCAGUGCUAACAGCAGCUUGAGUCAUAAUUCACAGCUAGAGGGAGCCCUGGCUUGCCUGGUUGCCAUCUCUCCCCAACCACUACCCCACCAUGAGCAGCAGUGGAAGGGAUCCCCGCUCCACCUCCCACCCCAACCAAAGGGUGGGACAGUGUCCUCCUGAGCACCCCCUGCUGCUUCCAGACACUCCCACCCUCUGCCCUCCAGCUCUGGCUGAGAAUCUCACCAGAGCAGACAGCCACUGAUGGUCUACUGCAACCCCAGCGUCACUCUCUUCCUUGAGCAUCCUAGUCCUUGCUCCCUGCAAUUCUAACCCUUGCUUUAUCCGCAGUCCAAGGCAAGAGGCUUCAGCAGGGAGCUGACCCUUCCAACCCCUCAAGUCCAGGCCUCUAGAAUUGUGAGGAAAUACAUCUCAGCUGUGUUUCGGCCACCGAAUGCAAGGUGGGAGUCAAGACCGGGGACUACAAGGAUAAACAAGACCCUCCGCAGUGCUCACGGCAGCUGGAGAGGAGGAACAGAUCUGCUACGUGAUUGUCCCGAUCACUCUAGUACAUGUGGCUCAGGGCCCCCAAGUCACUGACAGCAGCAUAUUCCCAAGUUAGCGCUGGGCUCCCUGAGUGAUGCCAGGAGAGGAAGAGGCCUGAGGAGAAGUCAGCACUGGGGGAAUCCCUAGAGAAAAGCUGUCUCUGUCCCUGGUAGGAGAGAGGAAUGGCUCCCCGCCCUGCAGCCAAAGAAAGUGAAAAAUACAGACUAGGAUCUUCACGAAGGGGCAGCCUCUUGCUGCAGAGGCACCGCUCAUGAACUGCACAGACUGUGGCCCCACCCUGGUGCCGCCGACAGAGCCGUGCGUGGAGAGAGAGGAUCGCUGGCGGGGGGACUGGGCUGCACUUAAACAGAAACAUGCUCCUGGCGCAGAUCUCUCAAGGUGGGAUACCUGCGGAGGCCUGAAGAGGUGGGGUGUGCCCGGAAAACGUCCGCCCCAGCCUGGUCCUCCAAGAGGAUGGAAACCACCCUAGCAGUUAUUAGCGGAGGAGCAGAGACCGUGGAUGGCUCUUCAGCCAAACAAUAGGAAGGCUCACUUGGGAAAGGGAUGGGAAGAGAAAAUGACCAUUCUUGGGAAGUGUGUAAGCUUCCCAUGACUAUGACAAAAUCCCUGAGAAGAGCAACUUCAAGGAGAAAAGGGUUGUUUUGGCUCAUGGUUUUAGAGGUUCCAGCCCAUGGCUCGCUGGCUCAGUCGGUUUUCGGACUAAGGCAGGGCAGAGCAUCAUGGUGAAAGGAUGUGAUCGAGGAAAGCUAUUCACCCCUGAAGAGUCAGAGAGACAGCAAGAGAGCCCUUGCUGGUGGCUUCCUCCACCUUGUACUUUAGUUCCCUCUAGGGCCCCUCCCUAUAGAUGGGUCUUCUCUCCUCACUGCCCCACACAUGAAUUGCCUCUGGAAACCUCACAAAUACAGCCCAGCAAACCCAGAAGUGUGCUUUACUGAUUUCCUAGGUGUCUCUCAAGCCAGUGAGACUGACCGUCAAGAUGAACUGUCAUAGGAAUGACAGGGUCCCAACACAUAAGCAUCCACAGAGAUCUUCAUGUGAGUGGAGACCACCAGCAUUGCUCAGAGCCUGAUACCUGGAACAAAGCCAAGACCCUCCCAUAAUUGCUUGUAAGCUGUCACGUGGGAAGAAUCCCUUUUCCUUGCAGCUGUCCUCCUGGGAACAGGCUAAAGCAAGACCUCAGGCGGGCCCCAUGCCAGAAGAUGGGGAGGUGUGCGGGGUGCACAACAUAUGCUGCAUGUGUGCUCUGAACAUGACGAAGGCUUAUAUUCCCAACCAACUUUCAUCGUAACCAAGAGUAACCUGAAGGCUAUGAAAUCUGCUGGGAUGCCGUUAAGCAUCACCUGACACCCAGCCACGAAGAGAGUUCAACGAGUAGAAUUGCUAGCAAUUACUGAACAAAGAAAACCAGUCCACAUUUCCACCCCGAGGAGGGGGACCUUCCCAAAAAGCAAGUUACAUCUGAGCUGAGCGGUGCUGGCCAGAGGCGGGAAGCUGACUUCUCCAGGAGGUAAGUCCGGCUUGUGCUUUGCCCAACGACUCUCCGUGGGAAUACAGAUGAAGGCACAGUGCAGUCACAGGAUCUCUGGGAACCUGGAUCCCCAGGACUGAUGUCCGCAAAUCUCCGAGCACCUGUCACAUGCCAGGCACAAGGACACGACCGUCAGCGGUGACUGCCCAGUCCCAAUGUAGCAGAAGAGACAGCGCUCAAACCUACAGGCUUAGCGUGGGAUUGACAAUACAUCCCCGCGAAGUCAAGCUUCGGAAUCCGCGGUAUCCGACCUUCCAGGAUUUUUCCUUAGAACCUAACUAUUGUUUUCAGAAACCCCCGCAGUUUUGCAGGAACAGCAAAUACUGUAUCCUCCGCAAUUUUUCAUUUUGGCAGGUUUGCAAGUAGCCAAUCCGAGAGCGUUACUCAGUUCUCCUGGCUGCUGAUUGGCUCCUGCUCUGUAACCAGCACCAGCACUGCCGCAUCACAACAGGUUGCUGAUUGCGUGUAGCUAUCUCGGUCCUCAGUUUUGUUCUUCCUAAAGCCCUGCGAGCCCCAAGAUGCUGCCAAAGGCCCUGCACCUUGUGAGGCCUCUGGCAAUGAGCCUCCGUGCCAGAAGUUUAAGACACUCUGGGAGAAGGUUGAACUAUUGUACAGCAUUUUUAUUAAAUUAAAUUUAAAUUAU